rnacentral:rRNA from 1 species
UACGGAAGGGGGCUAGCGUUGCUCGGAUUGACUGGGCGUAAAGGGCGCGUAGGCGGUUCGUACAGUCAGACGUGAAAUUCCUGGGCUCAACCUGGGGGCUGCGUUUGAUACGUGCGGACUUGAGUGCGGAAGAGGGUCGUGGAAUUCCCAGUGUAGAGGUGAAAUUCGUAGAUAUUGGGAAGAACACCGGUGGCGAAGGCGGCGACCUGGUCCGAUACUGACGCUGAGGCGCGAAAGCGUGGGGAGCAAACAGG